UCUACCAAAUAUUAUAUUAUGAUGUCGUGUACCGAAUGCUGUCAGUUAUUGAAAGUCUCUCGAAGUUAUAAGAUCGUGGUAGUGUUGAUAAAUAUUUCCACAGUCAGUGACGAUACGAGACAGAGAAGCUGAUUGAAGCUAAUUUUUCUAAAGAAUAUAUAUAGAUAUCAAAGGCAAAUAUAAUUAUGACAAUUUAAAAUUAUUAUUAUGUGGCGGUUUAACAUGAUAAUAUGAAACAAAUCGUCGAAUUUUCUUUCGUGAAUGAGUUGCCAUCGUGACGCUAUACAUUGCGUAUAAAAUUUAUUGGUACUGUUGCUGAUAACGGAGGCUUUAGAGCAUCUCUUCAGUGAAAGGAGAGGAAAAUGGAAGAUGGAUUGCUGCAACACACUUUGGGACAACUAGCGCUCGCCGAUUGUUUCCAUGUUGGGACAAUCCGGAAUUGCGAGCGACUUUUGCCAUUUCUGUACUACACAGACGCAAUUAUAGGGUUCUCUCUAAUAUGCCAGUUCAAAAAUUAAUAUCAUUGAAAAUUUCAUGUUAUGUGGACACAUUUCCAUAUUACUCCAGCAAUAUCUACUUAUCUCGUAACAACAGUUGUAAUUCGAUCCGAACUGUACUGUACUCAUGAGAAAAAUGAGACCAUCCACAUGUGUUAUAGCAGAUAUUCUCCACCUCAUUAAUUAUAUGGAGAAGAAGUUAUUUUAAAUGUCACACUGUGCUUAGAAAGCGGAUGGAAACGAUCAGAAAUGAAUUCAAAAAUAAUGCAUAUAGCAAUACCUUUCCAAAGUAAACGCAUGGUGACUUUUGGGCUUGUUUUAUAUAAGUAAAUAUAUAAAUAAAAAAAAUA